ACGCUGGCGGCACGCCUAACACAUGCAAGUCGAACGAAGUAGCAAUACUUAGUGGCAGACGGGUGAGUAACAUGUAGGUAUCUGCCCUUUGGCCUGGAAUAACACGAGGAAACUUGUGCUAAUACCGGAUAAGUCUUUACGGAGAAAGCUUUAUGCACCAUUGGAUGAGCCUGCACUUGAUUAGUUUGUUGGUGGGGUAAUGGCCUACCAAGACUGUGAUCAAUAGCUGAUUUGAGAGGAUGAUCAGCCACAUUGGGACUGAGACACGGCCCAAACUCCUACGGGAGGCAGCAGUGGGGAAUCUUGCACAAUGGAGGAAACUCUGAUGCAGCGAUGCCGCGUGAGUGAAGAAGGCCUUUGGGUUGUAAAGCUCUUUCGUCGGGGAAGAAAAUGACUGUACCCGAAUAAGAAGGUCCGGCUAACUUCGUGCCAGCAGCCGCGGUAAUACGAAGGGACCUAGCGUAGUUCGGAAUUACUGGGCUUAAAGAGUUCGUAGGUGGUUGAAAUAGUUGGUGGUGAAAUCCCAGAGCUUAACUCUGGAACUGCCAUCAAAACUUUUCAGCUAGAGUAUGAUAGAGGAAAGCAGAAUUUCUAGUGUAGAGGUGAAAUUCGUAGAUAUUAGAAAGAAUACCAAUUGCGAAGGCAGCUUUCUGGAUCAUUACUGACACUGAGGAACGAAAGCAUGGGUAGCGAAGAGGAUUAGAUACCCUCGUAGUCCAUGCCGUAAACGAUGUGUGUUAGACGUUGGAGAUUUAUUUUCAGUGUCGCAGCGAAAGCGAUAAACACACCGCCUGGGGAGUACGACC
rnacentral:rRNA from 1 species